rnacentral:rRNA from 1 species
UACGUAGGGGGCAAGCGUUGUCCGGAAUCAUUGGGCGAAAGCGCGUGUAGGCGGUUAUGCAGGUCCCGCUGUGAAAACUGGAGGCUUAACCUCCAGACGUCGGUGGAAACCGUAUAACUAGAGUCCGGAAGAGGAGAGUGGAAUUCCUGGUGUAGCGGUGAAAUGCGCAGAUAUCAGGAAGAACACCCGUGGCGAAGGCGGCUCUCUGGGACGGUACUGACGGCUAAGACGCGAAAGCGUGGGGAGCGAACAGG